ACGGCCGUUUUCAAUAACGUAUCUGAGUUUUCGGAUAGAUAGCUAUCUCCGAAUAUCAGCAAGAGCGUAUCUAUCCUUAGUUUGCGUUUCACAAUCACGGAUAAGUGCUAUCUCUCUUUAACCAACAGUAGAUAGCUUCUUCCCUCCGAUUUAUCCGAGCCUCUUGAUACGUUUCGUUCUACUACAAAUACGAAACAACAUCAGGAUCAAGACUUAUUUUAUUUUAUUCUAAAUUAUAACUAUAAUUUAACCAGCAUAUUGUAGACUAUCAUAAACACAUUUGUUUAUAACAAAAAGUAAUAAAAACAUAUGUAGAUUUUUUUAAAUUGGACGUAUUGCUAUUUUUAUCCUAGUCGAAAUUAUGAAACGAAACGUUUUGACAGUCCGUUUACCAUUAAGCAGUGAUCAGUUUCUUUUGUUUGUUUUUCUAUUGUUUACCUACUAUAUUAGAUGAUGACUUACCUCCAAAACGCUUUAAAACUUUCGUUUAUAAUUCUAAGUGUGUUUAUAAUUAAAGAGCUACAGUGAAAUAAAAUGAAUUCUUCAAGAAAGGCAGCACCCAUGACAAAAGAUGAGACGAUGAUUCUAGCAGAACUUGUGGCGGCGAAAAAACAUUUCAAUAAUAAGGCAACAAAUGCCACAAACAAUAAAUUGAAGGAGCA